CACAGAACAGCGUUUGAGUCUACGUGGAGCCCACAGCUCUCCCUCUGUCAGUAAGGACAAAGAGAUGUUCUUACACUUGGAAAAGACUAUAAAAGGCUGAUGCCUCAUCUCCAUCUUGUCUUCAAUCCUGCUUCUUACCUCUGGAGGGACUUUGCUACAAACAGAAGCUCUACACAAAGGACUGAGGACCCAUCCCAGCUGGGGAUGUAUUCCAGAGACUUGAUUUGAACCUGCAGUUUAUUCUAUCGCUGCUGCAAGCCUGAACCAAGAACUUUGUCAUUACUGUAUGUAAUUGAUUCCAUUUAACCAAUUCUAGCUCUCAUCUACAUCUUUUUCCUUUUAUGAAUAAACCUUUAGAUUCUAAAGGAUUGACAACAGCUUGAUUUGUGGGUAAGAUCUGAUUUGUAUAUUGACCUGGGCUUGGCCCUUUGGGAUUGAGAGAACCUUUUUUUCUUUUACUGGGGUAUUGGUUUUCAUAACUAUUUGUCCCCAUAACGAGUGGCACUAGUGGUGAUACUGGGAAACUGGAGUGUCUAAGGGAAUUGCUUGUGUGACUUGUGGCUAGCCAGUGGGGUGAGACCAAAGUCCUCUUUGGCUGUCUGGUUUGGUUUGCCUUAGAGAUGGAAAAACUCCAGCCUUGGGCUGUAACUGCCCUGUUUAAGCAAUUUGUCCUGAAUUGGCACUCUCAGUUGGGUCCCGCCAGAACCGCAUCGUUACACCCUGCUGUGUCACUUAGAGAGGACACUCUCAUUCCCUGUCCUAAAACGACCCUGCUGUGAGCUAUUAAACAGCUGUCCCGUUUCAAUCCUGGGUCAGAUGAAUCCUGCAGCGUCUCCAGAGGGUGUCAGGCUGCAAAGCAAUCUAGAAGUGUCAAUUCUCACCAGCUGCUGAGGGAUGGAAGGGGCCUCUGUGGUGGCUGUGCCAGCAGCUGCUCCACUUAUACAAAUUUGCUACCUGUGGUGCCCUACCUUUGCCAGCAUCCCAGUGUGCUGUGCAAAGGCAAUGCAGCUGCAAGGAAACCUGGACUCAUUGCAGGAUCUUGGUGUUUUAUUUGCAGCAAGGGACAUUUUUAGACCCUGAUCCUGCACUUGCACACAUGGUUAAAGGUAAACGUGUGGAUGUUUGUAGGAUCAAGGCCUUGGCAUCUGCACUGCUUCAGUGGCCAGGCUCUGUUCUGAAUAUGGGUCUAUUCCUGGCUCUGCCACUGCCUUGGCGGGUGAGCUUGCAGCUUGGCAAGUCAUAGUGUUAGGCCCAAAAAUAUGGAGUAUAAAACAUUGUUUGGCCAGCUUAGCCGAAGUGAGGUUAACAGUAGUUGCUGGGCCAUUCCUGUCUCUCUGUGAAACCUGAGGACAAGGUUGCUUGAGCUGCAGAGAACGAGAUAAGAGGGGGGGCUGCAUUCUUGUACCAGAAGUGCUAGGAACAGUUUGUUUGGACAUAUGGAAACUUGCAGUCUCCACUCCCUGUUUCUGUUCUUCAUCUGUUCUUAACUCCCUCCUUUCUCCUAGUUUCUGGUGCAUGACGACAAAGCUGAUAAGUUGCUGAGGCAUCACGAAUUGUUUGUAGUGUCAAAGAAGAUAGAAAGCUUCUAAUAUUCAUGCAUAUCUAACUAAUAAAGGGGGGUUGGGUUGUUUUAACUAUGACGCGACGGAACUGUCUAUAUAACCCUACUAGUUGUGAAAACCGUGGCUGGUUCUCUUUGGAGACGGGCUGCUCUCUAUUGUUGUGUGCACUCUUCAAUAAAGAGUUUGUGUUUGGA